ACACACACACACACACACACAUACACAUACAGAGACACACGCGCGCGCACGGAGAGAGCGCAGGAGUCUCGCGCAGAGUUUCACCAAACAGAAAGUGAUAGAGUCGGUAAACGUGCACUUCACGAGCCAGAGCCGGAGUCCCAGCACUCGGACGGGCACUGGCACGGAUACAUCUCGUAUCGGAGUUGUGAGCAAUGCGCUGGCAGCAUGGCCAGAUGGUUCAAGGAGCACCUGGGUUUCAAAACCACCAAAGCCCCGCAACCUCCGAAACCGGACUACCGACACUUCCACACCGCCGUCUCCAGCCCCCCGGUGUUCAACCUCCAGCAGCAGACGGGCACCGGGUUACUGUCCGCGCAGCCCGACAUCCUCACCGCCUACAAACUCCAGAAGGAGCUGGACUUCGAGGAUCCGUACACGCCGGGCGGAAACGUGCCCUUCUCCUCCGGACUGAGUUCCGCGGGCUCGCCGGACAUCAAGUACGUGUCUCCGAAGCACCGGCUCAUAAAGGUGGAGACGGUUGAGCGCAGCAGCUCGAGCUCGGGCAGCAGCAGCGGGGCGACCGCGGUCAAGACCCCCAGCUCCCCGCCCGCAGAGCCCGAGAACGGCAAGCAGGAGAAGCUCAUCAUCUUAGAGGACUAUGCCGAUCCCUUUGACGCAGCGGACCAGGCGGGCAGCACGCAGACGGUCACAGAAAAGCCAACGGAGAAUGACGGCUACAUGGAGCCCUACGAAGCUCAGAAGAUGAUGGCUGAGAUCCGAGGCGGUCGCACUCCUAAAGACGGUCCGGUCCAGCAGCAUCCUCUCUACGACACCCCGUACGAGCCGGAGGAGAACGGAGCAGAUCCAGACGGAUGUGUGUGUUCCCGUGAGAGCAGAUUACCGCAGGACGACGAGAGGCCGCCGGAGGAGUACGACCAGCCCUGGGAGUGGAAGAAAGACCGCAUAUCCAAAGCCUUCGCAGUGGAGAUUAAGGUCAUUAAGGAUCUGCCGUGGCCUCCUCCGGUCGGGCAGCUCAACACCGGUCCUCCUCUGAUGGAGGCGGUGGAGGCUCCGUCCUCUCCGGGACUCAACACCACAGCCUCGGCCUGCGACCAGCUCCAGCACGUGCAGUUUGACGGUGUGGAGAAGUCCCACAUGUCUCCCACUAAGGACCUGAAGUGUCGUCCGCUGCAGAGGCACUCGAGCGGCUGUCUGGUCAGCACUAAGAUGAGCUCUGUGGAGCCGAGCGUGGGCGAGCGCAUCGACCCGUCCAUGCCUCUGGAGAGCCAGUUCUGGUAUCACGGAGCCAUCAGCCGCACGGACGCUGAGGCUCUUCUGCGCUUGUGUAAAGAGGCCAGUUACCUGGUGAGGAACAGUGAGACCAGUAAGAACGACUUCUCGCUCUCGCUCAAGAGCAGUCAAGGUUUCAUGCACAUGAAGCUCUCCAGGACCAAAGACAAUAAGUACGUACUGGGUCAGAACAGCUGCCUGUUCGACAGCGUUCCUGAGAUCAUCCACUUCUACUCCAGCCGCAAACUACCAAUCAAAGGGGCCGAGCACAUGUCCUUGCUGUACCCCGUGGCCAUCCGGACACUAUAGAGGCAGAAGCGCUGCAGAAACAGGACGUUCGUUCAGCGUUUACAAGACAACGACAAACUAAAGUGCUACUGAGAUCCCGAAGACAAUAAGGGAGACUCCUGGAAGCCUCAUUCAUCUCGUCUCGAGGGACAGGGUUUCACUGUCCUUCAAAUGCCUUCUUCAUGAUUCCAGACCCGUUUUCUUCCCAUAAGUGGAUCUUUAGUCUUAGACCUGCACCCACACUUUAUCUCCACUGUUACACACUGUACAGAAACCCGAAACGUCACUCGGACUUUACUAUUCGGAUGUUUAUAGUUGCCAUUUCUGGACAUGUGAACCAUUAGACGUUCUUGAACAUUACAUCGCCGCAGUAAAUGAACAAAGACACUGAAUCGUACUGUAGCGAAACCUCAUCGUCUGGACUUUCUGUGAUCGUCAAUCAAUCAAAUGGGUGAAAUAUUAGCUAAAAAUUAAACAUGAACAUUUUCAGAACAUACAGAAAAUAAUCCCCAGAAGACUGAAAUCUAGCGUUCGGCAUUUUCCAGUUAGACACACCGAUGUGAAGAGAGAUCAUUACGCAGACAGAUUCAUUAAGUCCCUUAAAAUAGCAGUAAUAGCGCAGAGCGAGAGGAGAGGAGAUGGAUGGUGCCUUUUAAGUGCACUUGGACAGGCGGCUAUGCAGAACAGCGGGAAAAAGGACCUUUUAAUUUAACGUUCAGAGAGAGUCACUUCACCAGAGUUUAGGAUGAUCUUGACCAAGGAGAAUGAAAUAUUCCUGUAUUGUCUACCUCAGAAAAUCAAUUUCGUUCAUCCAUCCGCCGGUCGAUAAGGUACAGUGACGUUGCAGAUAUCGAUCGUCUCAAAAUCCCACCAAAUUUUGCCUUUUGGUUUGAGAAUAGCUUCUUCUUCACCUGAACGCAAUCAGACCCUGAUUUCUGUGCUGUCGUGACUCUGUUUGGUUAAUGCCUUAUACUGUAAAUGCAUGGAUUAAAAAAGAAAACAAAUGGAGAACACUGUUGUUCAAUGAAUGUUUAGUGGCUGUAAUUUAUUAUGGAGAAAAAAAAUUAUGCUAGUGCUGAUGUUUUAGUCCAGCUUAGACAAUGUUCUUGGCCAGUGUGUGUGUGUGUGUGUGUGUGUGAUAUAUGACCUUCAUUAGGUGUGCCAUAUAUCUGAUGUGUCUUCAUGAUUGUCCCCACCUGAAUACUCUGAUUGGAUGCUGCUUGCCAUGGAAACCAUUUAGAGCAGUUCAGCCAAUCAGAGAGCAGAUUUGUCCUGACCCUUCCUCUGACCUCUGGUUUUCCUCAUUUGCCAUCAUCCGGUUUCUUUUGUGUCGUUGUUUCUCUCUCUCUCUCUCUCUCUCUCUCUCUCUCUCUCAGCGUCUGUGCUACAGAUAUAACGCCUGUGUGAUUGGAUUAUUGUCAAUCGUUGUGUUUCCUUCUUGUUUUUAGUUCAUCGUUUCCCUCUCUGAUACAAUGUUUUUAUUCGUUCAACCUUUAAAGGGACACUUCCACCCCAAAAAUGAAAACUGUCAUCAUUUAUUGACCUUCAUGUCAUUAUUUUGCUGAAUUUCUUCUCCGUGCAGUGAGAGUUAAUUCAACCUCAAAAGUAUCAAAAAUCACCCUAAGGAAUCAAAAAGUAUCAAAAUACUAAUUUUGAAUAUGCAAAAAGAAAUACAAUAAAAAUUGUGAAAUAUUA